UACGUAGGGUGCAAGCGUUAAUCGGAAUUACUGGGCGUAAAGCGUGCGCAGGCGGCUUUGCAAGUCAGAUGUGAAAUCCCCGGGCUCAACCUGGGAACUGCAUUUGUGACUGCAAGGCUAGAGUACGGUAGAGGGGGAUGGAAUUCCGCGUGUAGCAGUGAAAUGCGUAGAUAUGCGGAGGAACACCGAUGGCGAAGGCAAGCCCCUGGACCUGUACUGACGCUCAGGCACGAAAGCGUGGGGAGCAAACAGG
rnacentral:rRNA from 1 species